GACGAACGCUGGCGGCGUGCUUAACACAUGCAAGUCGAACGGAAAGGCCCUGCUUUUGUGGGGUGCUCGAGUGGCGAACGGGUGAGUAACACGUGAGUAACCUGCCCUUGACUUUGGGAUAACUUCAGGAAACUGGGGCUAAUACCGGAUAGGAGCUCCUGCUGCAUGGUGGGGGUUGGAAAGUUUCGGCGGUUGGGGAUGGACUCGCGGCUUAUCAGCUUGUUGGUGGGGUAGUGGCUUACCAAGGCUUUGACGGGUAGCCGGCCUGAGAGGGUGACCGGCCACAUUGGGACUGAGAUACGGCCCAGACUCCUACGGGGGGCAGCAGUGGGGAAUAUUGCACAAUGGGCGGAAGCCUGAUGCAGCAACGCCGCGUGCGGGGUGACGGCCUUCGGGUUGUAAACCGCUUUCGCCUGUGACGAAGCGUGAGUGACGGUAAUGGGUAAAGAAGCACCGGCUAACUACGUG
rnacentral:rRNA from 1 species